UAGGGAAUAUUGGACAAUGGGCGCAAGCCUGAUCCAGCCAUGCCGCGUGAGUGAAGAAGGCCUUAGGGUUGUAAAGCUCUUUUGGCGGGGAAGAUAAUGACGGUACCCGCAGAAUAAGCUCCGGCUAACUUCGUGCCAGCAGCCGCGGUAAUACGAAGGGGGCUAGCGUUGUUCGGAAUCACUGGGCGUAAAGCGCACGCAGGCGGAUUGAUAAGUCGGGGGUGAAAUCCCGGGGCUCAACCUCGGAAUUGCCUUCGAUACUGUCUGUCUUGAGUCCGGGAGAGGUGAGUGGAAUUCCUAGUGUAGAGGUGAAAUUCGUAGAUAUUAGGAAGAACACCAGUGGCGAAGGCGGCUCACUGGCCCGGAACUGACGCUCAUGUGCGAAAGCGUGGGGAGCAAACAG
rnacentral:rRNA from 1 species